ensembl:lncRNA
CCGGGAUGGCGGCGGUUGGCGUGUGGUGUGUGACAGGGCCGUGACGGCCGCUGCUGCCAGAACAUGGGCAGCAGGAGAGCGGGGAUCUUGUCUAUGUUAGGAAAAGGGGAAGCAAGGUUAAAAGAAUGAAGCCAGCAAAGGAAAAAAGUAGUGCUUUGGGCGGAUUUGGUGUGAAAGUUCCUUGGUUUGGAAAUCAUCUUGCAAAGACUGUGGGAAAUGCUGCCCUAUGUGAGGUUCUAAACUGGCAGGCAGAGUACCUUUGUGCAUGAUGCGGAAACAUCAUUGUUACUUCACAGGCUGCUGGGAACACACUGAAGGCAAAUGGAUCAGACUGAGGAUGGUAUGCUGCUGGAAGAUACAGAUCAGAAGCAGUCAUCUUCUGUGGGCUGGAAAGUGUCAGAGUUGUUAUCUUUCACAAAUAUCAGAAAUGAGCAGCAAAAUUACCUUUCACUUCUGGAGCAAACACACGUCUCUCUCUUCCAUACCAUACAGUCAGCAGUAAGAUCUAAUGACUGG